rnacentral:rRNA from 1 species
CCUACGGGUGGCUGCAGUGGGGAAUAUUGGACAAUGGGCGAAAGCCUGAUCCAGCCAUGCCGCGUGUGUGAAGAAGGCCUUCGGGUUGUAAAGCACUUUCAGUGGGGAAGAAAGCCUUGGGGCUAAUACCCUCGAGGAAGGACAUCACCCACAGAAGAAGCACCGGCUAACUCCGUGCCAGCAGCCGCGGUAAUACGGAGGGUGCGAGCGUUAAUCGGAAUUACUGGGCGUAAAGCGCGCGUAGGCGGUCUGAUAAGUCGGUUGUGAAAGCCCCGGGCUCAACCUGGGAACGGCAUCCGGAACUGUCAGGCUAGAGUGCAGGAGAGGAAGGUAGAAUUCCCGGUGUAGCGGUGAAAUGCGUAGAGAUCGGGAGGAAUACCAGUGGCGAAGGCGGCCUUCUGGACUGACACUGACGCUGAGGUGCGAAAGCGUGGGUAGCAAACAGGAUUAGAUACCCCUGUAGUC